rnacentral:lncRNA from 10 species
CUGGUAGCUGGGACUAUAGGCACGUGCCACCACACCCAGUUAAUUUUUUGUAUUUUUAGUAGAGAUGGGGUUUCACCGGGUUAGCCAGGAUGGUCUCAAUCUCUUGACCUCGUGAUCUGCCCGUUUUGGUCUCCCAAAGUGAUGGGAUUACAGGCGUGAGCCACCGCGCCAGGCUGAGAUGGGGUUUCACCACGUUGGCCAGGCUGGUCUGGAACUCCUGACCUCAGGUGAUCCGCCUGCCUUGGACUCCCAAAGUGCUGGGAUUACAGACGUGAGCCACCGUGCCCGGCCAGUUCUAUGAGUUUUGAUGAAUGUGUCCUGCUUCUUCCCAGGCUCCACCAUCUCUUCCCCUAAAGGCAACCACCAUUCUGAUUUCUCUCACCAAAGACUGGAAAAAUAUCCCAAUACCUGGAUGUAUGCCUCACGUGUCCCGCUGGCCCCAGCACCCAGGUCAUUCUGGUGGAAUGGAAGUGCAACCGUGAGGUCGCCAGUUGGCCGGCAUUGUUAAGCAAGGGCAGCAGAAGGCUGGGAGGGACGGAGCCAGUCCCCCACCCUCUCCUCCAGCCCCCGCCCACCACAAAUUCACAGUGAGAGGCACCUCACUGCCUUGACAUUCAGAAAAGAGUGAAAUAAAGAAACCCUCGCAGCGCAGGAAAUAACUGGAUUCCACCUUCAAGGUUAUUGAGGUUCCUCCCUCUCUCUCCACGCCCCCAGUCAAACCCUGAAAUCCUAAGGCUGGGGGCAAGCCCUUCCCCAACCUGCCAAAGGAAAGGAGCCAGGGCUGCUGCCUUCUGGCCGCUUUUCUGCCUCCAGUCCCAAAAGGAAUUUCUCUGGACAGAUGUGACUGCAGCGGCCCAAGGCCCCCCUUCUCCUCCUCCUCCCAUCCCACUGGGCGGGCUUGGGAAGGUACAAUCAACCAUGAACAUAAAUAUGAAUAAAAAAUGAACUUGAAAAUGACAAGCUAUUAAUUAAACAAAUCUAUAAAAAUAGUUAGGACAUAACUCUGUUCAAAUAAAUACAAAAUAAAUAGGUUCCAAGCAGUGACACAAGUGGAAUGUGGGGCUGGUCCCGCUGCGCCCCUGCUGGGGUUGGACAGGAACCCCCAGGGCGUCAGAACAGACUCUGAGCAGUCAGCCAAGCUCCUGCUCCCUCGUCUUCCUCUGGAAGCACAGAAGUCGCUCAUUUGUCCGGCUUGUCCUUCUGGACAAAACCCUUUUCCCAACAGUCCAUAAUUAAGGCCUCCAACACCUUUUCCUUCCCUCCCCAGAACACACAAACGCUCUGCCCUUCGCCCUCAAACAUGGUGCUCCACUGCCCUCAUGCCACAGUGGGGACAGUGAGUUUGGUUCUGAGGUGGGGCCCAUCCUGACAGGGUCCAGGCCAGCUCAGAGCACCAUGAGCCCCAGCACUUGCCUUCUGUGCAGCCAGGCCAGGCAGCCCGAGCCCCCUGCACUCCCAAGCAUGCCCGAGAGCCCCAGCCAUCAGCAGGGCUCAGAUGCCAGUGACCACAAGGCCAGAUCCUUUCCUCUUCCUUCACAGCCAAGUUGGCGUCAAUGCUGUAGGUUGGGAAGUCAGGCCUGGGAGGCCACGUGACCUCACCUUUCAUCAUGGAUUAUGGGAUUGGACGAGGGGGUGGGAUGUGGGCUGUAGCCCUCCUCCCACCUUACCUCAGCAGACAGGCAGGCAGCAAGAGGGCACAGGGAGAUGCACGGCAGACCAGAGGGCAGGGGCCGUGGCCAACAGCUGGCUGCAAGGGUGAAAUGGAAGAACUAAGCCGGCCUCCAGGCUCCAAGCUCGCUAUUGGCAGGCACUGCAGAAAAUGUCCUGUCCUUACACAUGUGAGCCCGGAGCCUGCUGACCCUGGACCCUAAGGAAUGCCUGUGGUCUUCGCUGGAACCAACAGGAGGGUCUGCUGGGGUCAGCAGGACAAGCCCUGGGCCUGCCAGCUCUCCCCACCCUCCCUGCGGGUGCGUCUAGGGUUUUCACAGCUUGGCUCGAGACAGCUUAGUGUUGGCACAUUCACAGAAUGAGAUGGCUGCACACCCCAGGCUGCGGCCCAGGAUCAGCGAGUCCACUGCCGGGCGGCCCUCCCCCCGUCACCGCGACUGCACGCCCAGGGUGAUCUUCAGGUUCUCGUAGACCACGUAGCUGAUGCUCACAGCUGGGAUGACCUUCAUGAAGUUGGGGGCCAGCCCCCUGUACAGCCCGAAGGCCCCCUCGGUCCGCAGGAUAUGUUUGAAGAGGCUGCUCAUGGUCACCUCCGGAGCGCCCUCAAUAGAGGCUGCAGGAUGGAGGCCACCAGUCAGAUGCUUCUGUCCGCUCCCCCCGACCUCCCAGGGGACUGUCCAGGGCCAGCCUUACCUUGCGCCUGCAUCCGGGUCCUGACUAGGGCCAGGGGGUAGCUGGCCAGCUGGCCACAGGUACUGGACAUGGUGCCACAGGCCAGGAGCACAAACACGCCGGGGUCCGCGCUGUUCACUGCAUAGUGCUGCAGCCAGGCAUUCUUGAGCGUCUAGAAGGAGAAGGGAGCAUGGGAUAAGCCCUAGGAAGGGCUAGUGAGGCAGCAAGAGACGGGGCUGUUACUGGGUCCUCAGGCCACUGGAACCCGACUGCCGCGCCUGGGGCCUGGCUGGGCUCCUAGCCUGGCUGCCCUGUUUCUGCUGUCACUGGGAAUUCCGGGACAAGGUAGAGGGAACACCUCCUUCCCCACACAGAAGGGCUGACUUCUGGGGUCUGUCUAGAGUGUGCUGGGGCCUGUGAGCUCCUGGGGGCCACCCUGCUCUGGGGAUCUGCCUGCUGAGCCUCUGGGGAUGCAGAGCCUGGGUGCAGGGCUCACAGGAGCUGCUGGGGUCUGCCAGGGGCAGGCAGGGUGAAGGAAAGCUGCAGUAAACAGAAGAGCAGGAAGGAGGCGCAGUCUUUGAUGCAGUUUCCUGCACUAACCACGCGUCCGUCAAGGAGGGAGACAGCAGGUGGAGGUGUGCUGGGAGGAGGUUUCUAAAUCUGUCCAGCUUGGGCCUCACCUCGUAGACUGCAAGGUCGAUGCCGGCAUAGGGGAUGAUGCCCAGCAUGUUGGGGACAUAGCCUUUGUAGAAGGCGGCCACCCCCUCUCUGGCCAGGAUCCUCCUGGCGCAGUCCAGCAUUCCUGAGUACUGGCCUGUCUUCCGCAGCGCCAUCCGGGUCUUCAGGACCUGCACAACAGGAGCAGCGGGACGCGUGAGCACAGCCUGUGCCUCUCCCCAGUCCUGUGCCCACUGCCCGCCCCAGGACCCAGGCGGCCCCUCACCUCCAUUGGGUAGAUGCUGCUCUGGGCGAUGGCCCCUGCCAAGGACCCUGCCACAAGCCUCUCGUGAAUCCUCAGAGUCUCCUGGUCACUACCAACAAGGCGCUUGAUCUAGAACCAGGAACAAACAAACCACCUGAUAUACCCAGAGGUUGGGGCACCUGCUGCUGCCCCUCCCUUCCAGGAGUCCCCGGCACAUUUUAUGCUACCCAGA